GUAUGGGUGAGUACUUCUAGAAUGAGAGAGAGGGUUGGUAUAUGAGAGUUGAAAGUGUGUCUCCUUUUGUAUUUAUUUCUUUCUCAUAAGUGAAGCUUGUAUGUCCCGUGAAGGUAAGCCUCAAGCUGAGCCAUGCAUUUAAUUGUGUGUCCCUUUUAUUUUUUCUUUUUUUCUACUGCAACAAGUGAUACCAAAUCUCUAACAAUAGAUAUCAGAGCCAGAUGGCACCAGCGAGCCAGGUUGGUAUCGGAGUGCGUGAUUGAUAUCAGAGUCAGGUGGUAUCAAAGUGUGCGGUUGCCCAAGUUACAGCGGUGGUGAUCAAGAUUAAAAAAAAUGAAGAAG
rnacentral:lncRNA from 1 species